rnacentral:rRNA from 1 species
UACGUAGGGGGCAAGCGUUGUCCGGAUUUAUUGGGCGUAAAGCGCGUGUAGGCGGCCACGCAGGUCCGUUGUGAAAACUCGAGGCUUAACCUCGAGACGUCGAUGGAAACCGCGUGGCUAGAGUCCGGAAGAGGAGAGUGGAAUUCCUGGUGUAGCGGUGAAAUGCGCAGAUAUCAGGAAGAACACCCGUGGCGAAGGCGGCUCUCUGGGACGGUACUGACGCUGAGACGCGAAAGCGUGGGGAGCGAACAGG